GUGUGUGUGUGUGUGUGUGUGUGUGUGUGUGUGUGUGUGUGUGUGUGCAGGUACAGCACGCAUGCUCAAGAUCUGCCAGGGUGUGUGUGUGUGUGUGUGUGUGUGCGUGUGUGUGCGUGCGUGUGUGUGUGCGCGCGCGUGUGUGUGCAGGUACAGCACGCAUGCUCGCGGCUAAUGACCAAUUCACCUAACUUGGGCCAGAUUCAGAUAGAAAGUCAGGCAAAUGCUGACGGACUCCAUCAACAAACUGCAAACACAUUUUAUGUGCAACAGGAUAACCAAAGGUCUCAAGAUCUUCCCCCAGGAUUUCUCAAUCUGGAAUCUAAAGAGGUUUCUCUGAAAGAUCCUUU
rnacentral:lncRNA from 1 species